rnacentral:rRNA from 1 species
UUGAACGCUGGGCGCAUGCUUUACACAUGCAAGUCGAACGGUAACAGGUCUUCGGAUGCUGACGAGUGGCGAACGGGUGAGUAAUGCAUCGGAACGUGCCCAGUCGUGGGGGAUAACGCAGCGAAAGCUGUGCUAAUACCGCAUACGAUCUAUGGAUGAAAGCGGGGGACCUUAGGGCCUCGCGCGAUUGGAGCGGCCGAUGUCAGAUUAGCUAGUUGGUGGGGUAAAGGCCCACCAAGGCGACGAUCUGUAGCUGGUCUGAGAGGACGACCAGCCACACUGGGACUGAGACACGGCCCAGACUCCUACGGGAGGCAGCAGUGAGGAAUAUUGGACAAUGGACGCAAGUCUGAUCCAGCCAUUCCGCGUGCAGGAUGAAGGCCCUCGGGUUGUAAACUGCUUUUGUACGGAACGAAAAGGUUUGUCUUAAUACGAUGAGCUCAUGACGGUACCGUAAGAAUAAGCACCGGCUAACUCCGUG